AGAGAGAGACAUGCGCGCAUAUCAAUAAGCGGAGGAAAAGAAACUAACAAGGAUUCCCUUAGUAACGGCGAGUGAAGCGGGAAGAGCUCAAAUUUGAAAUCUUCAAGGUUUUACCUUGACGAAUUGUAGUUUAAAGAAGUGUUUUCUGCUGAAGUUUUGGUAAAAGUUCUUGGAAUAGGACAUCAUAGAGGGUGAGAAUCCCGUAUUUGACCAUUAUUUUCAGCUUUGUGAUACACUUUCAAAGAGUCGGAUUGUUUGGGAAUGCAGUCCAAAAUGGGUGGUAAAUUUCAUCUAAAGCUAAAUAUUGGCGAGAGACCGAUAGCGAACAAGUACCGUGAGGGAAAGAUGAAAAGAACUUUGAAAAGAGAGUUAAACAGUACGUGAAAUUGUCAAAAGGGAAGCGUUUGACACCAGUGUUGUUUUCUCGAAAAUCAAUUAAAAAUGGCUCGAUUUUGUAUUGCUGAGACCUUAAAAGCUCACUGUACAUUUUUCGUGUCUUUUUUAAUGCACUUUUCGUUUAACAAGUCAACAUCAGUUUCUUUUGUUGUAAAAGGGUCAUUGGAAGGUGGCUUUCUUUUCGGAGAAAGUGUUUAUAGCCUUUGGCCUCUGCAAUCGAAGAGACUGAGGUCUGCAGCGUAGACUCUUCGGGGUUAGAUACAUUUGUGCUAAGUUAUAGCCUUUCAUAGACAACUUGUUGACUAUGAUCAGUCAUGUAGCUUACUCGCUUAUGCUAUUUUACCUACGCUUAGGAUGUUGAAGUCAUCGUAUCGCGC
rnacentral:rRNA from 1 species